AACGAACGCUGGCGGCAUGCCUAACACAUGCAAGUCGAACGAGACCUUCGGGUCUAGUGGCGCACGGGUGCGUAACGCGUGGGAACCUGCCCUUAGGUUCGGAAUAACUCCCCGUAAGGGGUGCUAAUGCCGGAUAAUGUCUUCGGACCAAAGAUUUAUCGCCUUUGGAUGGGCCCGCGUUGGAUUAGCUAGUUGGUAGGGUAAAAGCCUAGCAAGGCGACGAUCCAUAGCUGGUCUGAGAGGAUGAUCAGCCACACUGGGGCUGAGACACGGCCCAGACUCCUACGGGAGGGAGGAGAGGGGAAUAUUGGACAAUGGGCGAAGGCCUGAUCCAGCAAUGCCGGGUGAGUGAUGAAGGCCUUAGGGUUGUAAAGCUCUUUUACCCGGGAUGAUAAUGACAGUACCGGGAGAAUAAGCUCCGGCUAACUCCGUG
rnacentral:rRNA from 1 species